rnacentral:rRNA from 1 species
AUUGAACGCUGGCGGCAUGCCUUACACAUGCAAGUCGAACGGUAACGGGCCUUCGGGUGCCGACGAGUGGCGAACGGGUGAGUAAUGUAUCGGAACGUACCUUUCAGUGGGGGAUAACGUAGCGAAAGUUACGCUAAUACCGCAUAUUCUGUGAGCAGGAAAGCAGGGGAUCGCAAGACCUUGCGCUGAUUGAGCGGCCGAUAUCAGAUUAGCUAGUUGGUGAGGUAAAGGCUCACCAAGGCGACGAUCUGUAGCGGGUCUGAGAGGAUGAUCCGCCACACUGGAACUGAGACACGGUCCAGACUCCUACGGGAGGCAGCAGUGGGGAAUUUUGGACAAUGGGGGGCAACCCUGAUCCAGCCAUGCCGCGUGAGUGAAGAAGGCCUUCGGGUUGUAAGCCUUUGUCCGAAGAAAGCAUUCGGUUAAUACCCGGGUGUUCUGACGGUACCGGAAGAAUAAGC